rnacentral:rRNA from 1 species
GACAGCAGUAGCCGCGGUAAUACAGAGGGUGCGAGCGUUAAUCGGAUUUACUGGGCGUAAAGCGUGCGUAGGCGGCUUUUUAAGUCGGAUGUGAAAUCCCUGAGCUUAACUUAGGAAUUGCAUUCGAUACUGGGAAGCUAGAGUAUGGGAGAGGAUGGUAGAAUUCCAGGUGUAGCGGUGAAAUGCGUAGAGAUCUGGAGGAAUACCGAUGGCGAAGGCAGCCAUCUGGCCUAAUACUGACGCUGAGGUACGAAAGCAUGGGGAGCAAACAGGAUUAGAUACCCGUGUAGUCCCUGUCUCUUAUAC